UACGGAGGGGGCUAGCGUUGUUCGGAAUUACUGGGCGUAAAGCGCACGUAGGCGGCUUUGUAAGUUAGAGGUGAAAGCCCAGGGCUCAACCCUGGAAUUGCCUUUAAGACUGCAUCGCUUGAACAUCGGAGAGGUAAGUGGAAUUCCGAGUGUAGAGGUGAAAUUCGUAGAUAUUCGGAAGAACACCAGUGGCGAAGGCGGCUCACUGGUCCGGUACUGACGCUGAUGUGCGAAAGCGUGGGGAGCAAACAGG
rnacentral:rRNA from 1 species